rnacentral:rRNA from 1 species
UACGAAGGGUGCAAGCGUUACUCGGAAUUACUGGGCGUAAAGCGUGCGUAGGUGGUUCGUUAAGUCUGAUGUGAAAGCCCUGGGCUCAACCUGGGAAUGGCAUUGGAUACUGGCGACCUAGAGUGCGGUAGAGGGGUGUGGAAUUCCAGGUGUAGCGGUGAAAUGCGUAGAUAUCUGGAGGAACACCGGUGGCGAAGGCGGCAUCCUGGACCGAUACUGACGCUGAGGAGCGAAAGCCAGGGGAGCAAACGGG